AUUGAACGCUGGCGGCAGGCUUAACACAUGCAAGUCGAACGAGUGGCGGACGGGUGAGUAAUGUCUGGGAAACUGCCCGUUGGAGGGGGAUAACUACUGGAAACGGUAGCUAAUACCGCCUACCAUCGGAUUUGCCCAGAUGGGAUUAGCUAGUAGGUGGGGUAAAGGCUCACCUAGGGGACGAUCCCUAGCUGGUAUGAGAGGAUGACCAGCCACACUGGAACUGAGACACGGCCCAGCCUCCUACGGGAGGCAGCAGUGGGGAAUGUUGGCAAAUGGGGGCAAGCCUGAUGCAGCCAUGCCGCGUGUAUGAAGAGGGCCUUCGGGUUGUAAAGUACUUUCAGCGGGGAGGCGUUACCCGCAGAAGAAGCACCGGCUAACUACGUGCCAGCAGCCGCGGUAAUUC
rnacentral:rRNA from 1 species